rnacentral:misc_RNA from 1 species
UUAACUAUUGUAUAGUACUCAGACGACAUAAAUAAUAGAGUUGAUAACCUUCGACGGUCACGCACCGGCCGAGACCAGUGGCCUCACACAAUGUGAGGCGGACCGCCAAAGCAACAAAGGUAAGGUAUGCAAGGGUGGAGGUCUACGCCGAAGGGCAUGAACUCUGUAAUGAUCCUUCCGCAGGUUCACCUACGGAAA